UACAGAGGGGGCAAGCGUUGUUCGGAAUUACUGGGCGUAAAGGGCGCGUAGGCGGCCGCCUAAGUCAGACGUGAAAUCCCUCGGCUCAACCGGGGAACUGCGUCUGAUACUGGGUGGCUUGAAUCCGGGAGAGGGACGCGGAAUUCCAGGUGUAGCGGUGAAAUGCGUAGAUAUCUGGAGGAAUACCGGUGGCGAAGGCGGCGUCCUGGACCAGCACUGACGCUGAGGAGCGAAAGCGAGGGGAGCAAACGGG
rnacentral:rRNA from 1 species